UCACGGCCCCGCUCCCCUCACGGCCCCGCCUGGAGCGGUACCGCAGCGCUGUUUGUCACCUUCCGGGGACCCCCGCGCCUUCUCGGUGCUGGCGUGCGGCCUUUUGGAGCCGUUUGCGGCACCGCCACCGCAUUCAAAGUCGAUUUAAUUAACCCUUAAGGGCCUGUAUAUUGCUUGUUUUCUAGUGGCUGCUUCCCCACAGCUGUGUUUGGGUUUAGGAGUCUGUUUCCCAGUAUCUGAGAGAAAAAUGUAAUUAAACAUUGAGCUGCCCUUAAAGUUCUGCUGGUGCUGGAAAUCCCUGUGGGAUGAGUGACAUUUGGGGCAUGAGCCAGAGUCAUCCCAUCUUUCUGGCUGCCUCUGGGUCCUGCAGAGUCCAGCUGGAUUGGAGCAUGGAGCCCAUCUCCCUGCCAGAAGCAGGCAUUGCUGCAGGAAACAGCUCAUCUGUGGCACAGGAAAGAUUCCAUGUGCUGGUGGGAGUGACUGGAAGCGUGGCUGCCCUCAAGCUGCCCCUGCUGGUCGCGGAAUUGCUGAAAAUCCCUGGGCUCGAGGUGAAGGUGGUCACUACUGAGAGAGCAAAACAUUUCUACAAUGCCCAGGAGAUUCCUGUGACCCUCUAUGGUGAUGAAGAGGAGUGGCAGCUGUGGAAGGGCCGCUCGGACCCCGUCCUGCACAUUGAGCUCCGGCGCUGGGCUGACCUCAUGGUGGUGGCACCUCUGGAUGCCAACACGCUGGCAAAGGUUGCCAAUGGCAUCUGUGACAACCUGCUGACUUGUGUCAUCCGUGCGUGGGACCUGAGCAAACCCCUGCUCUUCUGCCCAGCCAUGAACACGGCCAUGUGGGAGCAUCCCAUCACAGCUCGCCAGGUGGAGCAGCUCAAGGGCUUUGGCUACACGGAGAUCCCCUGUGUGGUGAAGAAACUCGUGUGUGGAGAUGAAGCCUUAAGAGCUUCCAGCUGAGCCUGAUAUUGAAGAGAAAUGCUCACUUAGGAAGAGAGUAGAUCAAAAAGAAGGAAGGUUCUGUGGUGAGUGUUACCAGCCUGGGAUUUGGGUGUCCUGACUUUGCUCUCUGCUGGGACUGGGGGCUGUUUUCAUUGUGCCUCAGUUCCUCAGCUCUACCGCUGGGAUUAAAUCUUGUCCCCGAGUGCAAGACAGUGGGAAAAGCCCUUUGCAGAUGUAGCUGGACACACAUUUAACAUUUGUUGUUGUUGUUGCCUGGGUUACUUUUUAGCUUCCCAAACAAGCUUGGAUUUGGGGUUUUGACACCAGAGUUCUGUGAAGUGAAAGAGGGGUGUGGAGGAAGUGCUCCACAAUACAUUCAGCUUGCAGUGCUAAAAAAUAAUGGUCUCAUUUGAAUUUUAAUAGCUGCUUUAAAUUGAGGUAUUUUGACUUUUGGAAAGGGUUUUGAUACAAACCAUUUGGAUAAAUGUAUUUGCUUUUUUAUUAAAAUUUCAUUGGGCAAAUCUCUAUAAAACGUCCCCCAGUUCCAGCGACAGCCUGCACAGUACUAUGCACCUAUUUCUGUGUAACAGCCCUGGCUCCAGCAGGAUUUUAGCCACCCUGUCAGUCCAAUAAACAGUCUGUGAGAAAGACAGGCUGUUAAAAUGUCCCUUGUGGUUAAAUUCUAGGCCUGGCUUAGUUUUGGAAUCCUUAGGUGGGUGCAAUGCCUCCAUGGUUUUGUACUUUCAGAACUGAAAUCUAAGAAAUAUUUACAGUUAGGUAAGCGUAGUCAAGUAACUCAGACAUCAGUUGAAGUGUCCUGGAUGAUUAGCCUUCCACUGGGAUUCUAGACAUGAUUACAUCAAAUUUCUUCAUAUCCAGCUCAGCUGUCUCAGUUGUGAGAGCAAACUCCUGAAGGAGCUUGGAGGAGAGGGAUGAAGGGGUGGCAGGAGCAGCCUCAUCUGACUGGACUCCACUUGUGCUCGCCGAGGUGCCAUGGCAGAAGUGUGGACCAUCGUGGAAAGAGUUAAAAGGAUCCUUGAAGAACGGGAUGUGCCAAGG